CCAUCCUCAAGUCAAGUUAUAACUACGUAAAAACCAAUGCUUUUUUCAUAUAUUUUCACUUGAUAAAAGGCACCAUUGAUUGUGCGUUCCCUGCUCAUAUGUGAUUACACUCUUCGUUUCUCGCAUCCUCUUGAUUCUCUUCCUCACCCAGAAACUCUCCUCCCCAUUCAUUUCAAUACAAAUCGCAGUCUACCCCCUAAACAAUGGAACUACCAACUUCUCUCUCCACGUUUUUCCAUCACCUUUUUGAUCUGAUAAAGAAAUUUCUGGCUUUUGGUGCGGUGUCUGAUUUCAUCCACAAGCUUUCUGAUCUAACAGAUACAUUUCUAGCUUCUGAUACAGUGGUAUAUGUCCUCCAAUGGUUUAAGAAAGAAAACGUUCCUACAAUGGUUGCAGUGGUAGUGAUAGUACUCCUGUUUUGUAGUUGCUGCGGAUGUCUUGUCAAGAUUGUUUGUAGUUGCUGCGGAUGUCUUGCCAGGAGUGUUCGUAGUUGCUGCGGAUGUCUUGCCUGGAGUGUUCGUAGUUGCUGCGGAUGUGCUGCCACGAGUGUUAAAACAAUGAUAGCACCAGGGAGGGACUAUCGCAUGCCAAGGAGUAUUUUUGAAGCAAAUCCUUCUGGUUAUUUUAGGGACUUGCGCAAGGGGUAGAAGAUACAUCGAUCCUAAGCCUCCAAUAUGGUUGUUUCCAGUGACUUCUUCACCGGCAGCAGGCCCUCCUUUAUUCAUCUCUUCAUCGACCCUACUGUGUUUUCUUCUUUUCGAGUAGUUUUUCAAAAGCUUUGAUCUGUUCUAGUAGAUGCUUUACGUUUACAUUUGUUGCAAGAAUAAUAAUUGAUGGUAUUAAUUUGCAUCAA